UUGACAUGGGGUGGUACUGUGUAAUUUUUGACUCAUAGUACGACCCAUGUUGGCUCAG
rnacentral:pre_miRNA from 1 species